GCCCACACGCGAAGGCACCUAGCAGCCGCCACUCGCCGAACUGAGGAACACGCCGGGCGACGGGAUACAGCAGCAGCGCGCCCCUCUAUCCCCGACGCGACGGCGCCCUGCAGCUGCAGGCACGGCUCCACACCUCCACUCUUCUCCUCCGUCUCCGUUCAUCUCUGCUGAGUAGUUGUGGUUGUGGCGUGUGGAUUAAUCGCGAUUAAUCGAUCUGAUCGGCGCUCUGGCGAUCAGAAACGAUCGACCGAUUAGAAAACAUUGGUGCUCAGGCAUCCGCAUCUGUCAACCCCCCCCCUCUUGUUCUGUUCCGGUACUGCCUUUUCAGCCCUCGAGUCCUACUGUAGGUGUUGAAGUAGUAAUUUGUUUUGUGCGCGCAAGUUCGAUUUCAUGUCUGCAUGUCAAUAGCUUUCGAUUUUUUGGGUCAUCUAUUUAGUGCAGUUUUGAAGUACUUCAUUUUUUUUACCGAUUUUUCGUUACUCCAUCUGUGUGUGCCUGGGAAUUGCGGAUCCCCACCCACCCCACCACGUCUUCUGAAGGGAGUUCAAGAGGAAACCCUUGAAUUCUAUGGGGUUUGUCCGCUCUGAAAUUUCUUUUGCUACUUGUUUCGAUUUUUUCCGAAGUAUCCAAACAAUACCUCACGAAUCUGCUUAUGUAUCAAUAAUGUGGGUAUAUCUAUUUGUUUGUUCUCAUAGUCUGGCAUAUGUAUUAUAGAUAAACCUGUUCCAAUGGCCAAACAAAAAGAGGGUGUGGACAAAAGAACUGCUAGGAAGAUGAUCCGAUCUACGGAAGGCUGUGCAAAGAGCAUUACUUUGGAGAGGAACAACAAAUCAGACGAUGUGCAGCUUCACGAUCUGCCGAAUGUAAGAGCAAUUCGAAAUAGUUCAAUGCUCCUUUUGCAGUAAGCAUAUAUGUGAAAUGGUUCAAAAGAGUUUGAUAGGACCAGGUAAUCAGUGGUUCAGUUUACUCGGCUGCUUACUCACGCUACUUACUACGUGCAGGACAUCCUAGGUAGCAUACUAUCACGGUUGACAUUCAGAGAAUCCUCACAGAUGGGCCUUGUUUCUCAUACCUGGCGGCGGCUGUGGAGAAGCUGUUGCCGGAAACUGGUCUUCACCAGUGCCACCAUGUUCCAACCCGGAAAUAGGAGCAUCAAACAUACAAGGACCAACUUUGCCAUGAGAGUCAACAGUUUCUUGCGUCAGCUACGCACUCAUCCUACUCUUAAUAAGUUUGUUAUUAAGUUCGGGCUGCGCAGGAAGCACACUCGCCAUGUCAACAGAUGGAUUCGCUUCUGCUCCGUGUCGCGAGCAAGACACAUCACUAUUAAUUUCACUCCUGGAGUGAAAGAUUUUUUCAUGGGUCCAGCCAACAGCAAGUACAUCUUCCCCCUGAACGUUUUCAGUGGUCCAGAAGGCUCCUCUACACAUGUCAGAACUCUUCAUCUGGGCUAUGUCUGUCUGGACACAACCUCGUCUGAUUUCAUGAUCUUUGCAAAUCUUAAGAAGCUCACUCUGCACAAAAUUUCCUUUUUGGGAGACCUCCAGUGCCUGAUGCUGCCAGAAUGCAAUUCUCUUGAGUGUCUGAGCAUCAGCUUCUGUUCCUUGCCUGGUUUAAGCACAUGCCAACCGCUGCAACGUCUGCGAUGUGUUCGUUUGCACUACUGCUAUCUAAAAAAGAUUGAGCUGGAAGCUCCAAAUCUAACAUCGUUUGACUUGACCAACCAACCAAUUCCAUUUGUGCUUGGUGGAUCUCUGAAUGUAAUGGAAGCCAACAUUAAACUGUUAGCUAAGGACUCACCUUAUGGUGAUAAUCUGGACUACAUCUACACUGAGCUUCCUGCUGCGCUGUCUCAUGUGCAUAAACUCUCGAUAACCUCGGGUCUCUUCGUUUAUGAUCAGGUUUUGUCUGUUGCUGAAAGCACUUAAGUUCAUUCAACUAUUACUUACCUUUAUUUGCACCUGACAUGUUUGUUCUUCAUCUCAUACAUAUUUUGACUCUCAUGGUUAUAUUUCAGCUGCAAGGGUUUUCCAAAACCUCAGCCAGAUUCAUCAAUCUGAGGCAUCUGACCAUGUAUUUGCCUCUUUAUGGGGAACCUAAGUCAAUUAGUGGGAUUCUUCGCUUGGCCUACCUACUGGAAUUGGCCCCAGCUCUAGAAGAAUUGGAAUUGCAUGUGAGUGGCUUACUAACUCUAUAAUCUGUUAUAGAUUUUCUCAAGGUAUGCCUUAUCUGUAGAAGUUUUUGUAGAGCAAUUGCAGCACUAGUGUACCAGGCAUAUUGUUUAUCAUCUUUGCUAAUUUUGAAUUGUCUGAAUAUUUAUUAUCCCUCAUUAAUCCAAAACUCUACAGUUCAAAAUUGCAGUAACAUAAAAGUUGUUGAGUGUUGAUGUUGUAGUUAAAAAAGAUUUAAAAAGACAAAAAAGUAGCAAUGUUGCAAUCAAUUGAACAUUGAACACUAUUGUACUUCAUUACCAUACAAGCCGAGGUGCCCAUGCGUUGGUAGUUUGCUUCAAGGUCUCGAAUACAUGAUAGUUUAAAAUUGUAUUGCUGGAACUGGGUGAUGUUCCACAGCUUAGAAAGUGGUCUUAUAAGUAGGCCUGUGGGUACCGUGUACGAAUGUAAAGGAGCAAGUCGAAGUGGUUUCAGCCAAAACAAAUAGACUAACUAUGUACAUUUCAUCUUCUCCACUUCCUCACGCAGCCACAGCCAUUAAUUCCCUCACACUGUCAUGAGCUCACGGUCGCACGACUCCUUCCCCCACUUCCUCUAUGCCUCCCACAACGGUGACCCACUAGGCGAAACAACACUUCUACGCCUCCCUCGACGGACAACCCACCCGAGCCCACACAUCUCCUGCAACGCUGCUCCUCCAGCGACUCUGCUCCUCGCCUCCUCCCACAACGGCGAAGUGCAGUUCUCCUCCCGCGAAACGGCAAGGGUGGCGCUGCUCCUCGCCGCCUCCAUGACGGCGCUCCUCCCGCGACCGGCUGCUUUGGCCACCCAACCAACAUUGUGCAUGCCAAGAAAACAAUGCUGUGGUUGAUGUCAUAAUAAACACAUAUUGGUUUGAGCUCUCACAUAAAACAAUUUUCGUAACAUUCACUAGUGAUGGACAGAGAAUAGACAAAAAAAACACAAGGAACAACAGCCAAUGAUGUAUAUGCCUGUGGCAUUGGGCUGGCUGGUUAAGCAUAUGGCCAACAGUCAUUUGUUGUCAUGUGGCCAAAUGUGAAUAGGUGAGGGUAGUAAAAUGAACCUUUUCCCUUCAAAGAAAUCAAACUUUUAGCCUUUUAUUUUACCGUUCCCAUCGUCUUCUCCAGCCAUUCUACAAGCAGAAGCGCUCCUCUUCAGUUCUGCCUGCGCAGAUCUAUCUUGGUUGUGCCCUCUCUCUCCCCCCCCCCCCCCAUAGCCACAGUCCUCAUACUCCCCUGCUUUCUUCCCCCCUCUCUGGCUUCUUUUUAACGAGGUUGUUCCUGCAUUCCCGGAACGUUCUGGUUACUAUGUUUGGGACCAAACCAAACAUUUAGCUCAAUAUCGCCACACUUAGGCUUUAAACCCCAAAAGGGCAAGCUUGAUGUGGCGGUGAGAGCUGUCUCACUUGAGUCAUCAUGUUGGUGAGAGCCUCUGGCACUGGGUCUGCUCUCUUAGGCUUUAAACCCACCAUAUGUCUGAUAUAUUUCAUUGGUCUCAUUUGUGUUGUGUGAAUCAUUUUCACCAAAUGAUAACUUUACCAAGCAAGGUUUUCAAGUCGAUAAGUCGAGUCGACAAGGUACCGACUUGGUGACUAGACGAUAAGUCAGUUGACUAGUCGUCGACUUGCCAAUAUAGUGGAUGUUUUCCCUAUAUAAUUGCUUCAUAUAGACAAUAUAACAUUUAUAUAUGAAGAAAUAGGAUGUUUUACCUCAUUUGAAGCCUGAAAUUGAACGAAACUGAAAUAAACAACAAGUCUUACCUCAUUUGAAUCCUCAAACUGAACCAAAUCAGACACAUAAGUGAUAAGUCAUAAACUCAUAAGUCAUAACAGCCAUAUAGUUCAAAUUGGAAAACAAAUAGCAAGAAAAUAUAGUUCAAACUUGAAAGGAAAAAAGUCAUAAACUUAUAAGAAAAUAUAGUCCAACCCCUGUGAGGCAGUAGUGUGGCAGUCCCACCUGUCAACAUAGCUGUGGUAGAACAUACCACCACCACUGUCGCUUUUUAAGUAGUGAAGAUUAUUUGGGUGAUACAAUACAGUUUUAUCCAUUUCUGAAGCCAAUUGGAUUUUUUUGUAUUGGCAUUGAUGAAAGUAUGUGAAAUGUAAACUGUAAGUAGUACUUUCAUACGGAUGUCAAAUAUAACAGUCCUAGUUGUGAUGUUAUUAGGGUUACAUUGCUGCUAGAGGACACUAGGACUAGGAUAGUAUGUGUUUCAUUAAACCUUACAAGUAUGUUUGAUUCCACGUUUAUUGGUUUCACAGGCCUGUUCUUAUUGUUUUCAUAUGUAUGAUGUGAUUCUAAAUGUGUAAUUUGUGUUUGCUUAAUUUCUCCUUGUUUAUUUUUUUCCCCACAUUCAUAUGAAAAAUUGAUAUGAUGGAUCUCAUAAGUCUGGCAUCUUUGCAUGCAGGUGAAUGGCGGUGGCGUGGAUGUUGGGUGGGCACUCAGACGGAAUAUGUUACCGUACUCACACAAUAGGCUCAAGAGGGUCCUUAUUUCAGGAGCCACUGUAUGGGAGGGGCUAAUGGAGCUGGCAUACUACAUUCUUCGGAGUGCCAAUAGACUCGAAAGUAUGGUCUUAGAUCCAAAGAUAAGGAUUGGGGGUCCUCAGCUGGAUGGUUGGAUGAUUGAUAUUGGUAGGGAGACGAUCAAAAAUAUUUUUGAGGGAGAGGAGUUUCAGAGCAUUAUUACUAUUCUGUAAGAAUGGUAAGAUAGGCCACAGGAUUUUGGUGGUCACACCAAGUGGCCAUGUUUGAUUAUGCCAUAGGUUUGACCAGUAUGGUCAUAAAUGUUUGUUGUUUUCAUUUCCGACCUCAGGAAAUGUAAAUUAAUACUCCCUCCAUCCAUUUUUCAUUCGCGUAUACUUCUCGGCAGUGACCAAAUUAAGUUUGAAAAAAAAACCGUUUCAUUUUUGCUGUUGCAUGUGACGUGGCCCACGCCUGCAUGCAUGCGAAUAAAAGAUAGGACACAUGAAGUUUAGUUAGUAAGGGUAAGAAUACCAAAAUACUUUUGAGCAUUCUUCUGUCAUUAAUGUAACUGAAAUAAAAGAGGGACUGUCAGUGGAAUUAAUAUGAUUUAAUCUGGGUGUUUUGUUUAUGUGAACUAAUUUUAGUUUCUUCAUUUUAUUUUAUUUUAGUUCUUAAAAUGAGAAAUACAUAAAAACAGAGUUUUAGUUUUGGUAUCUGCCAAUUUAGAAACUAUGAUGGAACAAAAUGGAGGACUAAAACUUAGUCUCUAGAAACUAAACAUCCCUUAGGGCUGAUUUGGUGACCAGGGAUCACGGAGGGAUUAGAGGGGAUUGAGGGGGAAAUUAGUUUAUUUUUCCCUCAAUCCCCUCCGAUCCCCCCGUGAUCCCCUUAUCACCAAAUUAACCCUUAAGGGCUGAUUUGGUGCUAAGGGAUCCUAAGGGGAUCCAUGAGGGAGGAAUCCCCUUGUUAUUCAAAAUUGAAUUGUAAGGGGAUUUCUCCCCCAUGGAUCCCCUUGGAAUCCCUUACCACCAAAUUAGCCCUAAGGGGUGUUUAAAUGCACUAGAGCUAAAACUUAGUCUCUAGAAACUAAACAUCUCUUAGGGCUUGUUCGUUUUGGUGAUAAUCCACAUGUAUUGGGUGGGAUUGAGUCGGUUUAAAUCCAUAACAAGUCAAAAUACAUCUCAAUCCCACCCAAUACACUCAAAUACACAUGUAAUAUCAAUAACCGAACAAGCCCUUAAGGAGAGAGACAUGUCCUAAACGUAUCCUCUUGGAUGGUCGCGUCCAUAUCCUCGAGCAGUGCGGUCUUGCUCAAGCAGCUUUUUGUAACGAUUAAAUACAUAUAGGACAUGCAUACGUCAGCAAGUGACUUAGUGUCGUACCCGUGAAGCACGGACGACGCGACGCUCUCCAAACCGGUAACGAUUAUGCGUGGACGAUCAGUCUGCAUAGAUUGGAAUUUGGAAAUUUUGGUCUGCUUCAUUUUUUCUCUCGCUCAUUUUUGGCCCAACGGCCCAGCCCAUUGAGUAAAGCAACUGGUGCCCUAUAUAUACGCAAAAAGACAUGACUGCCUCUGCACACCGCCACUCGCCCACACGCGAAGGCACCUAGCAGCCGCCACUCGCCGAACUGAGGAACACGCCUGGCGACGGGAUACAGCAGCAGCGCGCCCCUCUAUCCCCGACGCGACGGCGCCCUGCAGCUGCAGGCACGGCUCCACACCUCCACUCUUCUCCUCCGUCUCCGUUCAUCUCUGCUGAGUAGUUGUGGUUGUGGCGUGUGGAUUAAUCGCGAUUAAUCGAUCUGAUCGGCGCUCUGGCGAUCAGAAACGAUCGACCGAUUAGAAAACAUUGGUGCUCAGGCAUCUGCAUCGGUCAACACCCCCCCC
rnacentral:lncRNA from 1 species